rnacentral:rRNA from 1 species
UAUUGCACAAUGGGGGAAACCCUGAUGCAGCAACGCCGCGUGAGUGAAGAAGUAUUUCGGGAUGUAAAGCUCUAUCAGCAGGGAAGAAAAUGACGGUACCUGAGUAAGAAGCCCCGGCUAACUACGUGCCAGCAGCCGCGGUAAUACGUAGGGGGCAAGCGUUAUCCGGAUUUACGGGGUGUAAAGGGAGCGUAGACGGCGAUGCAAGUCUGAAGUGAAAGCCCGGGGCUCAACCCCGGGACUGCUUUGGAAACUGUAUGGCUGGAGUGCUGGAGAGGCAAGCGGAAUUCCUAGUGUAGCGGUGAAAUGCGUAGAUAUUAGGAAGAACACCAGUGGCGAAGGCGGCUUGCUGGACAGUAACUGACGUUGAGGCUCGAAAGCGUGGGGAGCAAACAGG